UGCACCAGUCCAGGAAACAGCCUCAAAUCACCCCAUAUCUUUUUACUAAACUCUCUCUGCUUAGUUAGCAACAAGCUUCCUUUUUUUUUUUUUUUUUUAAGGUUUUAUCUAUUUAUUCAUGAGAGACACACAGAGAGAGGCAGAGACACAGGCAGAGGGAGAAACAGGCUCCACACAGGGAGCCCAAUGCGGGACUCAAUCCCAGGACCCCAGGAUCACGCCCUGGGCUGAAGGCCGGUGCUCAACCCCUAGGCUACCCAGGUACCACGACAAGCCUCUUUAUGUACUAAGAACCCUGAGAGGUACGAGUGCUGAAUACUGCUGGGCACAGUUGCUGCUAGCAAGUCAUGCACUUGGAGACUUUGCCUGCCCUUUUAUCACCAUUCGGGGCCACAGUCAUCCGACAGAGCUGGUCAGCACUUCACGCGCCCUGGGAUUCCAAUGCCCUCACUGGUCCUCACGUGAGUUUUUGCUCCCAUGUCAGAGGUUCUCAAACUUUACCACGCAUUAUAACCAUCUGGGGAGCUUUGAAAAUCUCGAAUUUGAUCUCAAUCAAAUUCAAGGAGUCCCUGGGGCCAAGGGGAGAGGGGGUGUUGUGGGCAUCAUUCAUUUUUAUGUGGCCGAGUCUCAGAGCCUGUGGUCUCACCAGUGGUUCUGUAAGUGCCUCCCCAGACCAGCAUCACCUGAGAGCUUGUUAGAGAUGCAGAUUCUCCGGGUGCCUGGGUGGCUCAGUCGGUUAAGCAUCUGCCUUGGGCUCAGGUCAUGGUCUCAGGGUCCUGGGAUCCAGCCCCACCUUGGGCUCCCUGCUCAGCAGGAAGCCUGCUUCUGCUCCCCCUGCUUGUACGCUCUCUGCCUCUCUCGCUCUCUCUCUGUCAAAUAAAUAAAUAAAAUAUUUUAAAAAAACAAACAACAACAACAAAAAAGAAGUGCAGGUUCUCCAGCUGCACCCAGACUGAAUCAGGAACUCUAGGGAACUCUAUUGCCAUCCCACAAGAGCGCUCCAGGUGGCUUCAGUGCAUA
rnacentral:lncRNA from 12 species